GCCAAAUCUGGUGCUGGCACAAGCAUACUUCAAAUAUGUGAUAGGAGGGACCUUGGGAUGACUGUGCCAAUGGUCACAGAAGUUGUAUCAACCACUUCUGGUAACUUUAAAGUCCCGAGGAGUUACUCAAUGACCACCAUUGUCUUUUUUCAGGUUAUUUUGGGUGUAAACAUUACUGUCCUGGAAAAAGAGAUUGAGAUGCAUAAAGAAAUCGAGGCAAAUCUCACUUCAGAAAUCACGCUACACCAAGAGUGUUCGGUGUAGAAGGAAACAAACACUGAUCCAAGAAUACAUCUGAGUGAUCAUGGGUGAGAACCAAUGAGAAAAUUGAAAUACCAGCGUUCACAGCGCUUGGUAAGGGAUUUGUUCCCCUCAGGAGAGACCAGCAGCACUCCGGUGUUAGGAUACCCCAGGACAUCCAAAAAGUUACCAUUGGCCCCUGAAGAGCAAGAAACGAGCAAGGAAAAUAGCGGAAGGCCCUGGGCACAUAUCCACAAAUCAUCUCAGAAACAUGUUUUAAGAGAAAAAAACUCCCAGUUCAGAGUAGGUUUUCAUAAAGGCUUAUCUCAACUGGUAAUCACAACAGUUUGAGGUACCGCAGAAAAGAUAGUGAUGACGCUCAUUAGCAUUGUUGCAAAUUAUGGGAAUAACCAAUCGCAAUGAGAAACCGCAACCUGUAAACUCUAUAGCACAAUUUAGACAACAACACUCUUAGGAAAAAAAGGGUUCCAAAAUGGUUCUACCUAGACCCUUUAACAGAACCGUUUUUGGAAGAUUGUUAUUUUGUAAGGCAAAGGGUUCUACCUAGACCUUUUAACAUCCUAAGAACCGUUUUUGGAAGAAAUGGCUCUUUGAUGAUUCUUUGGAAGGCAAGAAAGAUUCUUUGGAAGGCAAGAAGGGUUUUACAUACUGUAGAACCUUAUAAUAAUAUUUCCCAGCAUGCUCUAUUGCAAGGAAAUUUUCAUAACUGUUUGUUUUACUGUAAUAUGUGUUUUUCCAUGUACAUUGAUUGGUUGAUUACUUUUCUGCUACAGGAAGAUAAAUAACAUACACUUUUCUAAACUAAUCCAAUUAGAUAGUAAUUUGAUUUAUUGGACUCGUUACGGAGAUAGUUGUUCCUGCUUAGAUGACUGAGGUAGUCUCAGUAUUCAAACUACCGUACCCUGGCAGUUAUGAAUGCAGGUGAUUUUAACAAUUCCACUUGUUGGAUAUCCUAACGCUGUCUGGAUUCCAAUAGGAAUUACGCAUCACUUUGCAAGCCAGCAUAAUUUGACCUGCAGACCUAUUGUGGCCUGUUAACCAGGUGUUUCCCUAACACCUGUGGUAAAUUCAAUUGAUUGGACAUAAUUUGGAAAGGCAUACACCUGUCUAUAUAAGGUCACAC